GACGAACGCUGGCGGCGUGCUUAACACAUGCAAGUCGAACGGAUCACAUUGCUUCGGUUUUGUGGUGAGUGGCGAACGGGUGAGUAACACGUGAGUAACCUGCCCCCUUCUUUGGGAUAACGUCGGGAAAUCGGCGCUAAUACUGGAUAUUCUGGUUUCCUCGCAUGGGGUUUCUGGGAAAGGUUUUCUGGUGGGGGAUGGGCUCGCGGCCUAUCAGCUUGUUGGUGGGGUGAUGGCCUACCAAGGCGGUGACGGGUAGCCGGCCUGAGAGGGUGUCCGGCCACACUGGGACUGAGACACGGCCCAGACUCCUACGGGAGGCAGCAGUGGGGAAUAUUGCACAAUGGGCGCAAGCCUGAUGCAGCGACGCCGCGUGAGGGAUGACGGCCUUCGGUUGUAACCUACUUCUAGUACAGAACAAGGCCUCGGUUCGUAGGUAGUGUGUCGAGAAGAAGACGACCGGCGUAACUACGUAGCCAGCAGCGCGGUAGUACGUAGCGUG
rnacentral:rRNA from 1 species